AGCAUAUGGUGAGGGCAUCUUCUCAAGAGGUCCUUAUAUCUCUCUCAUGCAUCAUAGAGUGUCUCUAGAUCCAUCUUCACAAAAGAAGAGAUAUCAUUCCUCAAUUU
rfam:Gossypium hirsutum cultivar TM-1 chromosome 13, whole genome shotgun sequence